CCGGUUCAAAUCAUGUUGCAACUAGAUUAAUUUUCGCUAUUUUUUCUGUUUCGACCAUUUGAACAAGAUGGACGUUUUUUCUGAGAGAAAAAAAACCCUGGCCGCCAUUGCCAGGUCAUUGGAAGUGAAAAUCAAACUGCUGUUAUGCUGUCUUAGAAGUGGUCACAAGGAUGUCCAUCCGAGAAUUUCGAUCUCGCCGGAGUGUCUGGUUAAACUUCGGUAUAGCUGGCUCUGAGGACAAUCUGGAGAUUCCGGAAAUCAUAACUCAACUGACAGAUAAAAACACACAAUCGCAGGCAUGGCUCUGAAGUUUUGGCGACAUCCAGACCUCGAAUCUGAUUUCACGACACUAAUAUUCCAAAGUGAUGUGAUCGGCAUUAAAGCAGAAAAUUACUUGUAAUGAUCAGAAAAAUAAAUUUUGAUCGAAAUGAAA